ACUACACCUCAAAAUGAGGCUCAGAAGCCUUCAAGACUAGAGAGGGAGGACGGACAUGACCUCCUCAGACUUCAUCUUACUGACUACCAUCCGACACGUGAGGAUUCUGCAACUUGUCUUCUGUAGGUUGCUCCCAUGGGCGUCUCUUUCAAACUGCACUUGUAACAUAUUCAGGAAACAUGGAUGUCUCUGAGAAAGUUGUGUUUCGCCAUCAUUUUGAAGUCUCAGGCUGAACCAUCCUGACUUUUCUCAUUUUGUGUGUGUGUGUGAAGACCAGGCUCUGACUGAAACUACGCAUCAUUUCCCCAGGAAAUUGUUUCUUUGGAGGCAGGCUAUCGAACAAGUUGCUUGUUUCGCGUCCAGUGCCUCUCAAUGAAUAUUUCAGGACUAUCAACACAUGCUUAUCAUGAGGAAAUUGCUUGUUUAUGCAGAGCAUGGUGCCGACGCUCCAGAACACAGCUGUUUUUGUCAGAAGUUAGGAGACCGUGAGUGACGUGGAGAAAGGUCCUAGGAACAGGGUUCUAGAACUCCAGAGUGCCUGCCUGGAAAUUUGAAGGGUAUCACGCUGCAUGUCUCAGAGGCUGAGCAUAUCUCGGUGCCUGAGCCGGUCUCUACAGUAAACUUGGGCUGUUCUAGAAAUGUCU